GACGAAGGAUGCAAGCGUUAUCCGGAUUCAUUGGGUUUAAAGGGAGCGUAGGUGGCCUUAUAAGUCAGUGGUGAAAUCCCGCAGCUUAACUGUGGAAUUGCCAUUGAUACUGUAGGGCUUGAGUACAGAUGCCGUUGGCGGAAUAUGUCAUGUAGCGGUGAAAUGCUUAGAUAUGACAUAGAACACCAAUUGCGAAGGCAGCUCGCUACACAUAUAUUGACUCUGAGGCACGAAAGCGUGGGGAUCAAACAGG
rnacentral:rRNA from 1 species